UGCACUUAGACACAAGUUAUUUUCUGCC
rnacentral:piRNA from 1 species